rnacentral:misc_RNA from 1 species
UAGGGUAGGCAUGCUGUUGUG